ACGAACUACGUGGGAAAAUGGAUCUUCUUUCUUUGAUUUUCAGCAAGCAUUUUUGGAAAGUAACAAUUCCACUCAGUUCGAGAAAGAAUUAACAUAUAAAUAAUAAUAAUAAUAAUGUCUCAUUUGGAAUUGGAAGCGCUAGCUGGAGAAAUUCGUGCAUGAAAGAGAGACCCAUACAAGAGAGACCCAUACAAUCCAACCUUCGUGUAGAAUCGCAAAAAGAUCAUUAUUAACUAGAAUUUCUCCCAAUUACAAAGAAGGCUCUCAGAGCCAUGACAUCAGAAACAGACCCAACAAGAGAGUCCGCCGCCCCUUCGGGGGCAUCAAUCACUUUGAGU
rnacentral:lncRNA from 1 species